ACGACUCGUUGGUUCUUUUGCGACGCAGAACGCUGUUGCGGUAUUUCUUCAUCCUGUCAAAUAAGACACUCCAAAGAAAAAGCUUGCCCAGUUGUAUCCUAAAUUAUCUAUAUAAUCUAAAAAUUUCCUACCUGUACGAUAACUGUUUUUACAACAUAAUACAGUAAUAAAUAAAUAAAUUAUCCACAAACGUAUUAAAUCAUCCGGAAGAGAGAGUGUGUGUAAGGUUUAUCAAAAAGAGUGUGUGUAAGGUUUAUCAAAAAGAGUGUGUGUAAGGUUUUUCAAAAAGAGUAAUCAAAUCAAUCACUAGGUAUGGCAUUUAAAAGCUAUUACACGCUCCUAAAUCACUGACAUUAUUUUUUUUUUUUUUGUAACAGGUAACAAACCACCGGGAACUGCUUCUACCGGUGGCUACUAGUUGGAAUGGACGAUCUGCGUUCAUCUGGAAAAUGAAUGGACGAGAUGAAGAGAGGUUCUUAUGAGAACCUAUCUUACCUGAUACGAGACGUUGGGGAAAAUGUAAAACACCAACUCACAACAACCAUCACUACUUUCUAACUAUUGUUGAUGAUUUCAGUCAUAGUUUAAAAAGCGACGCUUUAAGC
rnacentral:lncRNA from 1 species